rnacentral:rRNA from 1 species
AACGUACGCUGGCGGCACGCCUAACACAUGCAAGUCGAACGAAGUAGCAAUACUUAGUGGCAGACGGGUGAGUAACAUGUAGGUAUCUGCCCUUUGGCCUGGAAUAACACGAGGAAACUUGUGCUAAUACCGGAUAAGUCUUUACGGAGAAAGCUUUAUGCACCAUUGGAUGAGCCUGCACUUGAUUAGUUUGUUGGUGGGGUAAUGGCCUACCAAGACUGUGAUCAAUAGCUGAUUUGAGAGGAUGAUCAGCCACAUUGGGACUGAGACACGGCCCAAACUCCUACGGGAGGCAGCAGUGGGGAAUCUUGCACAAUGGAGGAAACUCUGAUGCAGCGAUGCCGCGUGAGUGAAGAAGGCCCUUGGGUUGUAAAGCUCUUUCGUCGGGGAAGAAAAUGACUGUACCCGAAUAAGAAGGUCCGGCUAACUUCGUGCCAGCAGCCGCGGUAAUACGAAGGGACCUAGCGUAGUUCGGAAUUACUGGGCUUAAAGAGUUCGUAGGUGGUUGAAAAAGUUAGUGGUGAAAUCCCAGAGCUUAACUCUGGAACUGCCAUUAAAACUUUUCAGCUAGAGUAUGAUAGAGGAAAGCAGAAUUUCUAGUGUAGAGGUGAAAUUCGUAGAUAUUAGAAAGAAUACCAAUUGCGAAGGCAGCUUUCUGGAUCAUUACUGACACUGAGGAACGAAAGCAUGGGUAGCGAAGAGGAUUAGAUACCCUCGUAGUCCAUGCCGUAAACGAUGUGUGUUAGACGUUGGAAAUUUAUUUUCAGUGUCGCAGGGAAACCGAUAAACACACCGCCUGGGGAGUACGACCGCAAGGUUAAAACUCAAAUGAAUUGACGGGGACCCGCACAAGUAGUGGAGCAUGUGGUUUAAUUCGAAGAUACGCGCAGAACCUUACCAACACUUGACAUGUUCGUCGCGACUCUAAGAGAUUAGAGCUUUCGGUUCGGCCGGACGAAACACAGGUGCUGCAUGGCUGUCGUCAGCUCGUGUCGUGAGAUGUUGGGUUAAGUCCCGCAACGAGCGCAACCCUCACUUUUAGUUGCCAUCAUUAAGUUGGGCACUCUGAAAGAACUGCCAGUGAUAAGCUGGAGGAAGGUGGGGAUGACGUCAAGUCCUCAUGGCCCUUACGUGUUGGGCUACACACGUGCUACAAUGGUAUCUACAACAGGAAGCAAGACUGCGAAGUUAAGCAAAUCCCUAAAAGAUACCUCAGUUCGGAUUGCACUCUGCAACUCGAGUGCAUGAAGCUGGAAUUACUAGUAAUCGUGGAUCAGCGUGCCACGGUGAAUGCGUUCCCGGGUCU